rnacentral:rRNA from 1 species
GACAGAGGGUGCAACCGUUGUUCGGAAUUACUGGGCGUAAAGCGCGCGUAGGCGGCUGAGUAAGUCGAUUGUGAAAUCCCCGGGCUCAACCUGGGAAUUGCAGUCGAGACUGCUCGGCUAGAGUGUGGGAGAGGGUGGUGGAAUUCCCGGUGUAGCGGUGAAAUGCGUAGAUAUCGGGAGGAACAUCAGUGGCGAAGGCGACCACCUGGAUCAACACUGACGCUGAGGUGCGAAAGCGUGGGUAGCAAACAGG